rnacentral:rRNA from 1 species
GAUGAACGCUGACAGAAUGCUUAACACAUGCAAGUCUACUUGAACUUCGGUUUGGGUGGCGGACGGGUGAGUAACGCGUAAAGAACUUGCCUCACAGAUAGGGACAACAUUUGGAAACGAAUGCUAAUACCUGAUAUUAUGAUUUUAGGGCAUCCUAGAAUUAUGACAGCUAUAUGCACUGUGAGAGAGCUUUGCGUCCCAUUAGCUAGUUGGAGAGGUAACGGCUCACCAAGGCGAUGAUGGGUAGCCGGCCUGAGAGGGUGAUCGGCCACAAGGGGACUGAGACACGGCCCUUACGCCUACGGGAGGCAGCAGUGGGGAAUAUUGGACAAUGGACCAAGAGUCUGAUCCAGCAAUUCUGUGUGAACGAUGAAGUUUUUCGGAAUGUAAAGUGCUUUCAGUUGGGAAGAAAAAAAUGACGGUACCAACAGAAGAAGUGACGGCUAAAUACGUG